rnacentral:rRNA from 1 species
UAGCGUAGGGUGCAAGCGUUGAAUCGGAAUUACUGGGCGUAAAGCGUCGCGCAGGUCGGUUUUGAUAAGUCUGUCGUGAAAGCCCCGGGCUCAACCCGGGAACUGCGUCCGAUACUGGCAGGCUUGAAUCCGGGAGAGGGAUGUGGAAUUCAGGUGUAGCGGUGAAAUGCGUAGAUAUCUGGUGGAACACCGGUGGCGAAGGCGGCCAACUGGGCUCUACUGAGCUGGAGGCGACGAGAGCGUGGGGAGCAAACAGG